rnacentral:rRNA from 1 species
CUUUGGUUCUAUUUUGUUGGUUUCUAGGACCGAAGUAAUGAUUAAUAGGGACAGUUGGGGGCAUUAGUAUUUAAUUGUCAGAGGUGAAAUUCUUGGAUUUAUGAAAGACUAACUUCUGCGAAAGCAUUUGCCAAGGAUGUUUUCAUUAAUCAAGAACGAAAGUUAGGGGAUCGAAGACGAUCAGAUACCGUCGUAGUCUUAACCAUAAACUAUGCCGACUCGGGAUCGGUGGGUGUUCUUUCAUGACUCCAUCGGCACCGUACGAGAAAUCUCAAGUCUUUGGGUUCUGGGGGGAGUAUGGUCGCAAGGCUGAAACUUAAAGGAAUUGACGGAAGGGCACCACCAGGAGUGGAGCCUGCGGCUUAAUUUGACUCAACACGGGGAAACUCA